rnacentral:lncRNA from 1 species
AAAAUACUGCAAUUAUUAUGAACCUUUUUGUGCAAUAUGUAGGGAAAUGGCUUCAUUGACAGAAACCUAUUUCUUGAUAUUAAUAACCCUCUAUAUUUUCAGCUAAUCCAAAAGUAAAUGAGGAACUUAGGAAAAGAUUGCCAACUUCAAAUCAAGAGUUACACAGAAUUGAAGAAGAAGCAUACAGCUUCAUUUGAGGGAUUCUUUUAAGAGACUCAGUGUUCUGCGAUAUGAGCUCUGAAACCUUCAAGCAAAAAAUGGACUCAGUGCCAGAUCAAACAAGUUCAGAGGAACAAAUGGAGAACUGGUCAAAAGAAACACACAUCUUGGAUCAGAAAAAAGAAGACUUUUGUGCUGAACUUCAGUUUUAUAGGAAUUCUCAGAAACGCUCAGAAUUUUUUAUCCAGGCAGAAACCAAAGCCCCGAAACUUUCAGAUUUGCGAGCAGAUAGUCAAAGAGGAGGAAUCCUAACUGACUGUAAUUCUGAUUCUGAAGAAUCAA